GACGAACGCUGGCGGCGUGCCUAAUACAUGCAAGUCGUGCGGACCUUGUUGAAAGCUUGCUUUUAAAAGGUUAGCGGCGGACGGGUGAGUAACACGUGGGCAACCUGCCUGUAAGACUGGGAUAACGCCGGGAAACCGGGGCUAAUACCAGAUCGUUUUUUCCUCCGCAUGGAGGAAAAAGGAAAGGCGGCUUCGGCUGCCACUUACAGAUGGGCCCGCGGCGCAUUAGCUAGUUGGCGGGGUAAUGGCCCACCAAGGCAACGAUGCGUAGCCGACCUGAGAGGGUGAUCGGCCACAUUGGGACUGGGACAAGGCCCAAACUCCUACGGGAGGCAGCAGUAGGGAAUCUUCCGAAAUGGACGAAAGUCUGACGGAGCAACGCCGCGUGAGUGAAGAAGGCCUUCGGGUCGUAAAACUCUGUUGCCGGGGAAGAACAAGUGCCGUUCGAACAGGGCGGCGCCUUGACGGUACCCGGACAGAAAGCCACGGCUAACUACGUG
rnacentral:rRNA from 1 species